GAUGAACGCUGGCGGCGUGCCUAAUACAUGCAAGUCGAGCGAACGGACGAGAAGCUUGCUUCUCUGAUGUUAGCGGCGGACGGGUGAGUAACACGUGGAUAACCUACCUAUAAGACUGGGAUAACUUCGGGAAACCGGAGCUAAUACCGGAUAAAAUUUUGAACCGCAUGGUUCAAAAGUGAAAGACGGUCUUGCUGUUACUUAUAGAUGGAUCCGCGCUGCAUUAGCUAGUUGGUAAGGUAACGGCUUACCAAGGCAACGAUGCAUAGCCGACCUGAGAGGGUGAUCGGCCACACUGGAACUGAGACACGGUCCAGACUCCUACGGGAGGCAGCAGUAGGGAAUCUUCCGCAAUGGGCGAAAGCCUGACGGAGCAACGCCGCGUGAGUGAUGAAGGUCUUCGGAUCGUAAAACUCUGUUAUUAGGGAAGAACAUAUGUGUAAGUAACUGUGCACAUCUUGACGGUACCUAAUCAGAAAGCCACGGCUAACUACGUG
rnacentral:rRNA from 1 species